GGCCUCUUCGUCUAACGGCUAGGACAUAGCCUUCUCAAGGCUAAGAUAGGAGUUCGAUUCUCCUAGGGGCUG
rnacentral:tRNA from 1 species